rnacentral:rRNA from 1 species
UGGGGAAUAUUGGACAAUGGGCGCAAGCCUGAUCCAGCCAUGCCGCGUGAGUGAUGAAGGCCUUAGGGUUGUAAAGCUCUUUUAUCCGGGACGAUAAUGACGGUACCGGAAGAAUAAGCCCCGGCUAACUUCGUGCCAGCAGCCGCGGUAAUACGAAGGGGGCUAGCGUUGCUCGGAAUCACUGGGCGUAAAGGGCGCGUAGGCGGACAUUUAAGUCAGGGGUGAAAUCCCGGGGCUCAACCUCGGAAUUGCCUUUGAUACUGGGUGUCUCGAGACCGGAAGAGNUAAGUGGAACUGCGAGUGUAGAGGUGAAAUUCGUAGAUAUUCGCAAGAACACCAGUGGCGAAGGCGGCUUACUGGUCCGGUUCUGACGCUGAGGCGCGAAAGCGUGGGGAGCAAACA